AAACCCCGGAGGCGGCGCCUUGUUCUUUCUUUUACGGCCAUGCUGUCUGUGCGGGUGGUUGUUUGGGCGAGCUACGGCUCAAAGGUCAAGGCAUCCUCUGUCUUCAAAGGGCAUCAUGAACGGAUCACUGACUGGAAGGAAAAUAUAUUGUGUUAGGUAAAUAUUGGAACAUGGAUUUUAAAAAUCUUAAGGCUUCCCCCUAGCAGGCCUUCAUGACUGCUAACUUGGUAAUAAGAAUUUGGAUUCCUGUGUUGUGAAGCAGAAAAGGGACUUAGGAGGAUGUAGAACAACUGUUCAGGAAUUGUAAUGCCAGUAUUGGUUUUGGCAGUGCAGCUACCAAAUCAUGGGGAUGAUUCUCCUGUAACACUUCCUGUUGUUUGUGAGAGAGGAAGGAGCCCGCUAGCAGUGUAGGUUAUCCUCUACAACUGCACAGAGUUUGUAUGCACAGCCAGGACACCUCCAACUUAUGGUGACCCUGGCAGGAUUUUUGAGAUUCAGUUAGGAAAUCAUAUUGAACAAGGAUUUUGCGGGUUCUCUAAAGUAAUGCCUGAUUUCAUAAGGCAAAGAUACAGUCCUACAUGGCAGAUUAUUGGAAGAUAAACCGGAGCUUAAGUUUUACUAUCUGUGAAUAAUAAAAUAAAAUGAUUCUAUAAUCUUUG